GAUGAACGCUGGCGGCGUGCCUAAUACAUGCAAGUAGAACGCUGAAGGAGGAGCUUGCUCUUCUGGAUGAGUUGCGAACGGGUGAGUAACGCGUAGGUAACCUGCCUGGUAGCGGGGGAUAACUAUUGGAAACGAUAGCUAAUACCGCAUGACAACAGUUAUUGCAUGAUAACUGUUUAAAAGUGGCAACUGCUCCACUACCAGAUGGACCUGCGUUGUAUUAGCUAGUUGGUGAGGUAACGGCUCACCAAGGCGACGAUACAUAGCCGACCUGAGAGGGGGGUCGGCCGCCCUGAGACUGAGACAGGGCACAGACGCCCACGGGAGGCAGCCGUAGGGCUACGUCGGCAAUGGGCGGAAGUCUGAGCGAGCAACGCCGAGUGAGUGAAGAAGGUUGUCGGAUCGUAAAGCUCUGUUGUAGGGGAGGAACGAGUGUGAGAGUGGAAAGUUCACUCUGUGACGGUAUCUGAUCAGAAAGGGACGGCUAACUACGUG
rnacentral:rRNA from 1 species